GAAAAAAAGGGGAACUCAUCUUGAAGUGGCAUCUUUAAAGAGACUCUCAAGGAGUUAAAGAUACCAAGAGGACCAGAAGCUGAUGCCAAGAAUCCAUGGAAUGAUGUCCACAGAGCAUAAUGGCACAAUUGUCUUAUAGAACAAGAUUGAAAAGAGCUGGAGGACGGGAAAGGGUGUGGCGUCUAUAAAAAUGAAAAACGUUAUUCAUGGAUUCAAAUUUAUGCCUAAAAUGAAUUAGAUGCAAUAUUUCAUUCUCAGAUUUCAGGCAAAAGUUAGAAACUAGUUAAAUAGUGACAGGAUUUUCAGAGAAAUCUGGCAAAAUCUCUGGGAUUUUUCUUCUCAUCCACCUCAAGUAUUCUUAGCAGGAGUCCUUUAUUCUUCUCUUGGAGGUGAAAGAAAAAACACACUUGUUAUCAAAGCAACAAAUCUGCAAAAUCCCCUUCCAUUGUCCUUUUUAGGACAUCAUGAGGCUAGUCUUCUCAUUCCCCUGAAAACCUGUCACUUCCCACACUCAUCUGGAAGGCCUUGUUGGACUCUAUUACCAUGAAACACAUACCAUGGAUAACAAGAGAAAACAAACACCUGUCCAAAUGACAGUCUACAGCGUGGGUUUUGUCUUCUCAUCAGAUGGACUCCAUGGUCAUCGUGCUCCCCCAGCUACUAUUAAAUCUCUCGUUGUAGAUUUGUGAGCAUCACAGGCCAGCAAGUGGCUCUAGCAUUAACGAUUCCCUGAGCUCUGAGGGAAGAUGGAUUUGAUGAAGAUCUCCAAUUUAUACUCUGUCUCCACAUAAUGUCUGGCUGUGGGUCUCUGCAUCUGUUUCCAUCAGCUGCUGGAGGAAGUCUCUCUGAUGAUGACUGGAUAAAGUACUGAUGAGUACGGCAGAAUAUCAUUAGGAAGCAUUGUAUUGAUUUUUCUUAAACCAAUCAUGUUUUGUUUUACACAGGACUCUGGACUAUCUAGCCCCAGCUUCUCGGUUACCUAAGCAGUGUUGAGUAUGGGUUCCUUCUCAUUGGAUGAGUCUUAAGUCAAGUCAGCUUUUGGUUGGCUACUCAUAUAAGUUCCACUCUACCAUUGCCCUAACAUAUUUUGCAGGAGGAUAGAGCAAAGGUUUUGUGGCUGGAUUGGUUCCCAUGUUUCUCUUCUGGUAGCCUUCAGUGUACCUUCCCACACCAAAGAGACUAGAGACAUAGGAGUGAAGGCUCCAUGUAGGCACCAGCUCAACUUCUCCAUGUUCAAUGAGUUGUGUGGAUGUUGCCCUUGGCAACAGAGCAUCUGUAUCAAUUUUCAAAGAGCAAACCUUUGUUUUAGCAUCAGCCUGAUAUUUUAGGGAUUUCCAUGGGACUCCCUUGGCCAAAACUCAAUUGAAUGCAAAUCAGUCUCUCCCCUGGAAUACCACUAGCCACUCUAGCCCCCCAAGCCCCCAUUCUACCUGCAAAAUAUAUUCUAUUUCCGUUUCCCAGGGAGAUCCAUGUAUCCUCCCAGACCCCUCUUCUUUACCUAAUCUCUCUGAGUCUAUGGAGUGUAGCUUGGUUAUCAUAUACUUAAUAGCUAAUAUCAACUUAUAAGUUGACAUAUACCAUAUUUAUCUGGGUAUGAGGUGCACUCAGGAAUUUUUUUUUUCUAGUUCCAUCCAUUUGCUUGUAUAUUUCAUGGUGUCUUUUUUUUUUUUUAAAGAGCCAAGAAAUACUCCAUUGUGUAAAUGUACCACAUUUUAUUUUUCCAUUCUUCUAUUGAGAGACAUCUAGGUUGUUUAAGAUUUCUAGCUAGUAUAAAUAAAAAUGCGUUGCUGUCUUCAAUUUUUUUCUUCAAAGACUUGACAGUUUUAGUCAUUCAAGUUUUUCACUUACUUGGUUGGAGUUACACCAUGACAUUUUGUAUUAUUUGAGGCUAUGGUGAAAAGUGUUGUUUCCCUAAUUUCUUUCUCAGAGUGUUUGCCAUUUUUUUUUUUAGUUAAUCUUGUAUCCAGCCACUUUGCUGAAACUGUUUAUCAGCUUAGGAGUUCUCUAGUGGAAUUUUAACGAUAAGUAUGUAUACUAUCAUAUCAUCUGCAAUAAUGAUACUUUGAUGUCUUUCUUUCCAAUUUUCUUCAUCUCCUUCAAUUAUCUAAUUGCUCUAUCCAAAAAUUCAACUACUAUACUAAAUAGAUAUGGAGAGAGUAGGCAGCCUUGUCUUAUUUCUGAUUUUAGUAGAAUUGCUUUGCAUUUCUCUCAAUUUAAUUUGAUGUUGGUUGGUUAUGGGCUUGCUGGAAAUUGGCUUUAUUGUGUUUAAGUAUGUGCCUUGUAUCCUUGAACUCUCCAGGACUUUAAUCAUGAAGUAUGUCGGAUGUUUUUCAAAGGUCUUUUGUGUAUCUAAUGAGAUGAUCAUUUUUUUUUCCUUUCAGUUUAUUUAUAUGGUAGAUCACAUGUAUUGAUUAUAUAUAUACAUACAUAUAUUAUAUAUAUCAAACCAUCCCUGUAUGUUUGGGAAGAAUCCUACUUGAUCAUGGUGGAUGAUCUUUUUUGGGUGUGUUCUUAAGAUCAUCAGUUAAUAGCUCUUAGAUACAUUUAUUUAGUAUGUUUUUAUUAUUUGUAAUUUAUUUUUUAUUUUUUAUACUGGUUAUAAGGACUUUAUUUACAAUAUUUAACCUAAGAAUGUUCAAGUUUAUUUGGAAUAAUUUUUGUUUAUCUUGGAUAUAUUUUGAUUUUAGUAAAACAUUUUAUGUUUUUUUUUGUUUUUUCUUUUUUUUAAUUAGAUAUUUUCUUUAUUUACAUUUCAAAUCUUAUCUCCUUUCCUGGUUUCCCCUCUGAAAACUCCCUACUCCCUCCCCCCUCCCCCUGCUCAGCAACUAACCCACUCCUGCUUCCCUGUCCUGGCAUUCCCCCACACUGGGGCAUAGAGCCUUCACAGGACCAAGGACUUCUCCUCCCAUUGAUAUCUGAUAAGGCCAUCCUCUGCUAUAUAUGAAGCUGGAGCCAUGGGUCCCUCCAUGUGUACUUUUUGGAUACAGAUAUGUGGUACAUUUAUACAAUGGAGAACUAAUCAAUUACUUAAAACAAUGAAAUUCUUAGGCAAAUGGAUUAAUUUAUUUCAAUGUCUUUUAAAAUUACUUCUUCAUUUAUACUUUUUUGCAUUUGUUUUGUUGCCCUGUCUUGGCUCUUUGAAAUAACUACUUAGUUUUUUUUUGUUGUUGUUGUUUUUUUUUCCAUUUCCUUAUGUUCUGAAUUUGCCUCUGACAAGUAUUCUUGCUGGCUGUCUCUCACUGGUAACGACAUUGGGUUCCCAUUGUUGUUCUUUUCUAAAUACUCAGGCUUUCAGAUUUGUCCCAAGAGCCAUCUGUUAAUGGCUGCUUUAUAACCAUUUGGUUUUUUCCAGUUUACAGUGUUGAAAUUAAUGUCUAGUUGCAAUGACCUGCGGUCAAAGGCUGUGCUUCACCUAAUCAAUUUUAUUAUUUUUUUCCCAUGGAUCUUUAAGAUAGAAGUAGUAUUUUCUUUCUUUCUUCCUUUCUUCCUUUCUUCCUUUCUUCCUUUCUUCCUUUCUUCCUUCCUUUCUUUUUUGGGUUUUUCAAGAUAGGGUUUCUCUGUGUAGCCCUGGCUGUCCUGGAACUCAGUAUAUAGACUGGGCCUGACCUUGAACUCAGAAAUCCACCUGUCUCUGCCUCCCAAGUGCUGGGAUUGAAGGCCUACGCCACCACUACCCGGCUGAAGUAGUAUUUUCUAUUUAGCUAAUAUUACAUCCCAUUUUUAGUCACAAAUUAGUUUUUAAAACUAUGCUGCUACUACUUCAGUAUUGUAACUUUUGGUUAAUAUGUCAAGAAGUAGAGCCAUACCAUGUCCCUCAUGGUUUUUGUGUUGUAGGAUUUUUUUAUGCUUCAUAUAUAUUCAAACAUAGUCAUGUGACUGAUGUCUUCAUUGAUUUGUCACUUAUUAAUACAAAGUUGACAUUUGUUAUAAAAUAAUCCAUUUAAUGUAGUUUUUUGCCUUGAAUCAUGUAGUCACUGGAUUCUUUUGCUAUUUAAAAUUUUUUUUUCCUGAUAGAGUUCCACUUAUGUGUAAGGCCACAUUGUUGGACAUUAGCUUAACUAUAAAUCAAUGGGCAUAAGUUAAUGGUAACAAAUUUUCUUUUUUUUUUUUUUUGCCUUAACAUUGUGUUACUCUACAUACAUACUUUGCAUUUUGAAAGUGUUAUAAAAUGUAUAUGUCCAUUCCAUAUCAUAUCAAAAUACAAUUUUCUCUUAAUCACAUUUCUCAUCCCUGUGACAGAAUACCCAGAAAAGGAAGGCAUGUUUGAGUUAAUUUUAUAUCCAGCUACUUCACUGAAGCUAUUUAUCAGGUUUAGGAGUUCUCUGGUGGAAAUUUAAGGGUCACUUAUAUAUACUAUCAUAUCAUCUGCAAAAAGUGAUAUUUUGACUUCUUC
rnacentral:lncRNA from 1 species